GAAAUGCAGGGUGUCCGGCUAGGUGGACACCCGGCCUCUCGUCCCCCGUGGCGGCGUGGUGCGCGUGUUCCUUGUCUCAGGGUUUACGCUUGGGCCCUGCAGCCCACCUUCCGGAGGGAAAGCGCAGCGGGCGCCUUGGGCCGGCGCCUUUGGGGCGCUCUUUCGUGCGCUCGGCUUGCGGGGGACCGGCCUCCAGGCGACCCGGCCCUCGCGCGGGCUCCGUGUGUGUCAGUUCGUGGAAAGUGUGUCGCGGCCGGGGUCGGGGUCGGGGUCGGGACGCUGGGACCGCCUGGGAGCCGAUGUUGACUCCCGGGCCCCGGUUCUCCGCAGUUAUCUGAGGUCCGAGGGUUUCCAGCCCGCCACCGCGCACUGGCGCUUUCUAUUUUUGCCCUUCCUGUGCCCGGAGGCGCGGCUGAGCCUGGGCUCUGGCUUUUCCGGUUGGGUAACUCCGGGUGGCCCGGGUGGGCGGCCUGAGCAGUGGGCAGGGCGGGGAGACAUCCCAGGGGAGGGAAACUGAAAGUGGGGAGAGCCUUCAGAACUCCAGCUGAUCCACUUGCCUCGCCUCCCCGCCCCUCUUACUGCACUUGUCAUGCACCGGUUGGCUGGCCGGCGCAUUUUUCAAAAUGUAUUAAUUUGUUUAUCCUUAGUAGCCGUGAAGCAUAGUUCACUUGUAGUGCACAGUUGUAGGAGUUUUGACAGAUGAUCGCCGUCAGGCGGCAGAGCAAUCCUGUCAUCCCACUUGCUGCCCUUUGGCGCCAGCGCGCCUCUAGCCUCUUGGCCACUAAUCUCCUCUCUGUCCCUAAGGUUUUGGCUUUUCCAGAAAGCCAGAUGAACGGAACAACAGCAUGUAGCUUUUCAAUUCUGGCUGCUUUGGCUCAGCAAAACCUAUGCGAGAUUCAUCCCAGAGCUGUGCAGCCUUCACCUCUAAUUCCAGAACAUUCCAUCAGCGCAAAGGGCCGGCAGUCCCCUGCUCCAGCCCCUGACACUCUGUGUCUGUGGAUCUGCCUGUUCUGGACGUUUCCCAUCAAUGGAAUCACACACUGUGUGUCCUUCUGUGUCUGGCUUCUCUCACUGAGCAUCGUGUUCUCAGGGUCCGUCCACGUUUAUCUGGUGUGUUGUAGCUUCCCUGAACAUGGUGAGCAAAAGCUGCCUCCCCACAGCACCUCUGGGACCCUCUGACAAGCCAGGUGCGUGCCUGGCCCAAGACAAGAUGCCUGGGCUUCCCUGCCAAUACCUGAGCUGGGAGGGACAUGGAUACUGGGCAGCACAAGACACGGGCUCUCCUCCUUCCGGGCUCUGACUCUGUUGUGUGUCCUUGCUCUCUCACCUGAAGAGGAUACCUCUUAUUUCAACAAGAGGUUAAGUGUUUCAGGCACAAACUUCCUCAUCUUCUUUCUGCUGACUCUGGCUGCCUUCCAAUACAUGUUCCAUGAUGCAGACACCACCAUCUCCACUUCAAAUCCGUCUGUGACUUUCCAUUGCUCUUAGGAUAAAGACUAACCUCCUCACCAUGGUCUAAAAUGUGGAGUCAAAGGAUGGCUUCCGGUGGACAACUGGUGCCGUUCUGUAAGAUAAGGAGCUUGCUU